rnacentral:rRNA from 1 species
UACGUAGGUGGCAAGCGUUAUCCGGAAUUAUUGGGCGUAAAGAGCGCGCAGGUGGUUGAUUAAGUCUGAUGUGAAAGCCCACGGCUUAACCGUGGAGGGUCAUUGGAAACUGGUCGACUUGAGUGCAGAAGAGGGAAGUGGAAUUCCAUGUGUAGCGGUGAAAUGCGUAGAGAUAUGGAGGAACACCAGUGGCGAAGGCGGCUUCCUGGUCUGUAACUGACGCUGAGGAGCGAAAGCAUGGGGUAGCGAACAGGAUUAGAUA